rnacentral:rRNA from 1 species
AUUGAACGCUGGCGGCAGGCCUAACACAUGCAAGUCGAGCGGAUGAAGGGAGCUUGCUCCUGGAUUCAGCGGCGGACGGGUGAGUAAUGCCUAGGAAUCUGCCUGGCAGUGGGGGAUAACGUCCGGAAACGGGCGCUAAUACCGCAUACGUCCUGAGGGAGAAAGUGGGGGAUCUUCGGACCUCACGCUAUUUGAUGAGCCUAGGCCGGAUUAGCUAGUUGGUGGGGUAAAGGCCUACCAAGGCGACGAUCCGUAACUGGUCUGAGAGGAUGAUCAGUCACACUGGAACUGAGACACGGUCCAGACUCCUACGGGAGGCAGCAGUGGGGAAUAUUGGACAAUGGGCGAAAGCCUGAUCCAGCCAUGCCGCGUGUGUGAAGAAGGUCUUCGGAUUGUAAAGCACUUUUAGUUGGGAGGAAAAGCAGUAAGUUAAUACCUUGCUGUUUUGACGUUACCAACAGAAUAAGCACCGGCUAACUUCGUG